rnacentral:rRNA from 1 species
UACGUAGGUCCCGAGCGUUGUCCGGAUUUAUUGGGCGUAAAGCGAGCGCAGGUGGUUUAUUAAGUCUGGUGUAAAAGGCAGUGGCUCAACCAUUGUAUGCAUUGGAAACUGGUAGACUUGAGUGCAGGAGAGGAGAGUGGAAUUCCAUGUGUAGCGGUGAAAUGCGCAGAUAUAUGGAGGAACACCGGUGGCGAAAGCGGCUCUCUGGCCUGUAACUGACACUGAGGCUCGAAAGUGUGGGGAGCAAACAGG